rnacentral:rRNA from 1 species
CCUACGGGUGGCUGCAGUGGGGAAUAUUGCACAAUGGGCGCAAGCCUGAUGCAGCCAUGCCGCGUGUGUGAAGAAGGCCUUCGGGUUGUAAAGCACUUUCAGCGGGGAGGAAGGCGGUGAGGUUAAUAACCUCAUCGAUUGACGUUACCCGCAGAAGAAGCACCGGCUAACUCCGUGCCAGCAGCCGCGGUAAUACGGAGGUGCAAGCGUUAAUCGGAAUUACUGGGCGUAAAGCGCACGCAGGCGGUCUGUCAAGUCGGAUGUGAAAUCCCCGGGCUCAACCUGGGAACUGCAUUCGAAACUGGCAGGCUAGAGUCUUGUAGAGGGGGGUAGAAUUCCAGGUGUAGCGGUGAAAUGCGUAGCGAUCUGGAGGAAUACCGGUGGCGAAGGUGGCCCCCUGGACAAAGACUGACGCUCAGGUGCGAAAGCGUGGGGAGCAAACAGGAUUAGAUACCCUGGUAGUC